rnacentral:rRNA from 1 species
AUUGAACGCUGGCGGCAUGCUUUACACAUGCAAGUCGAACGGUAACAGGCCUUCGGGUGCUGACGAGUGGCGAACGGGUGAGUAAUGCAUCGGAACGUACCCAGAGGUGGGGGAUAACGCAGCGAAAGCUGUGCUAAUACCGCAUGUGAUCUGAGGAUGAAAGCGGGGGACCGAGCAGCAAUGUUUGGCCUCGCGCCUUUGGAGCGGCCGAUGUCGGAUUAGCUAGUUGGUGGGGUAAAGGCCUACCAAGGCGACGAUCCGUAGCUGGUCUGAGAGGACGACCAGCCACACUGGGACUGAGACACGGCCCAGACUCCUACGGGAGGCAGCAGUGGGGAAUUUUGGACAAUGGGCGCAAGCCUGAUCCAGCGAUGCCGCGUGCGGGAAGAAGGCCUUCGGGUUGUAAACCGCUUUUGGCAGGAACGAAACGGUGUCCGCUAAUACCGGGCGCUAAUGACGGUACCUGCAGAAUAAGCACCGGCUAACUACGU